GUGAACGUAGUUUAACUAAAAUUUUAGGUCGUGACCCUAAAGAUGGAGGUUAAAACCCUUCCGUUUACC
rnacentral:tRNA from 1 species